UGUUUCGCUUUGGUUGCUUACAGCUGCGGUUAAAUUUAUUAUGUCUGGUGGUGGUGAUCUCGAGGCUGAAUCAAAUAAUCCUACCUCCUCUUCGUUAAUGGCGCCAUCACCCAGAGAAUCUGAGCUCUUCAAGAUUCAGCUGUCAAUGAGAAACGAUGUUUUUGUUACCUGAAGCUUGUUGGAUCAGGGGAAUUCAAUUGAGACUUCAAAAAAGUUAUUCACUCCUUGAUUGCCACAGUUGAAGAAGUGGAGGAAGCAACCAGGACUCAAUGGUGGAGGAAGCAAAUUGAAUGAGGAGUUGGAAGGAGAAAAGUCCCAAAGAAAAGUUUCUCAAGACAAAGUUACCUAUUUGCCUGUAGAUUAUCUGUCGAUAUGAUUGGAUUGGAAGAACGAGAGAGAGAGAAAGAGAGAGCGAAAAGAGUGUGAGUAUGUUAGCAAAAGAGAGAGAGGCAUGAGAAAAAAAUAGCAAGAAAAAGUGAGAAUCUGAGUAAGAAGGAUAAAGAAAUGUUCGAGCAUGGAAGAGUUAUGAAGGAAAAAGAAAGGGAAGAAAGUAAGAGAUUUUAUUUCGAUCGAAGAGGAGAAAACGAUCGAAGUAAGGGCUGGUACUAUUGUGUGGGUUUUACUCUUCGCCAAUCGAUUGAGAAAAUAACUACGAUUUUAUUCAGGAGAAUGGGAAUGAAUAAGAAGGAGGAGGAAUGAUAGAGUGAGAAUGUUGGUGGGAGUGAGAGAGUAAAAACAGAGUUUGAUUAUCAAUGGCCAAAACAGAUCAAACCUUAAGUCGAGAUUGUUGUUGAUUAUUUGAAAUCCUGUUAAACUGAAUGGAAACACAGAGAGACACAGAAAAUAUGAACUAUUGCUGAUGAUCUGGUUACACACUGGUUUGGUACAGACAAGACUGGCAACCUAAAAUGUGGAUAUCUUUUGUUUAGGUUGUUACUGUUGAUGUUGAUCGGGACUUUCAAAUGAUGAUUAACUCUUUUUAUACCGCAAACCAAAGGACGAGUGAAACCAAAAAUAUGACGAUAUCGAUGAGGACGUUGAUACAAUGUACAUCAACCAGUCGAAACACUUACUCUUGUUUACCUUGUUUCUUAUUUUCCUCUUCUUCUUGUCUCGUCUUACUGUGUGUAUGUUAUUGUUAUUGUUAUGUUGUUAUUGAGUUUGGAGUUAUAACUCCACACACUUCUUACUUUUAAAAAAACUGUUGGUUGACAAGAUGAUUAUUUAUCAAUAAUAUAUUUGUUAAUCAAGCACAGAUGUAAUUUUAAUUUCAUCUUGAAAUUAAACAACAACAAGAAAGAAAGGAAAAGAUAUAUAUUUUUGUAUAUAUAAUCACAGAGAAGGAAUUAGGCAAAAAAAUCAGUCUCUACUUGAUAUUAUUUUUGUAUGUUAACCCAAUGUAACACGCCAUUUUGGCUUUCCUCUUUCUCUCUUUUCCCUUUCUUUUCUUUCUUUUGAUCCUCUUUCCAGGUCUCUCUUCGAGUCUCUCUUUCGAACCUCUCUUUCGAGCCUCUUUCGAGUUUCCCUUUCUUUCCACUUUUUAUCCAGGAAAGAGAAAGGAACCAGAAAAAAGAGAGGAAUGAUGAUGAAGAUGAAAGGGAAGAAAGUCCAACUUGCAUAGAGCAUCCUCCGUAUACUCACCCUGCUGUACAAAGAUACAAGUUAAAUGGUUAAAUGUGAAUGUUAAAGAUGACUCUUGUCUUCCCUCAUCAUCUCUCAUUUUGUAUUACCUUCACAAUACCCACUUUCCUCUCUCUCUCUCUCUCUCUUAUUAUGCUUCUUUCUCCUCUUUUAAUCCGCCGAUUACACUUUUCCUCUCUCUUUGACUUCACUGUUUAAAGGGAUGAUGAAGAUGAUGAUGGAAACAUUGGUUUCUUUGGUUACUGCGACCUUGAAUGAUAAUAAUUGAGUUUUUUCAGCUUUUUUAAAAUGACGUUGAACCAAA